GACGGAAGGUGCAAGCGUUGCUCGGAAUCACUGGGCGUAAAGGGUGCGUAGGCGGCCGUGUAAGUCUGGCGUGAAAGCCCCGGGCUCAGCCCGGGAAGUGCGCUCGAAACUGCGCGGCUCGAGUGCCGGAGGGGAGAGUGGAAUUCCUGGUGUAGCGGUGAAAUGCGUAGAGAUCAGGAGGAACACCCGUGGCGAAGGCGGCCCUCUGGCUCGACCCUGACGCUGAGAGGCGAAAGCGUGGGGAGCGAACAGG
rnacentral:rRNA from 1 species